ensembl:miRNA xtr-mir-20a xtr-mir-20a
GCUAAAGUGGUGCUAAAGUGCUUAUAGUGCAGGUAGUUUUUCUGUAUUCUACUGCAUAAUGAGCACUUAAAGUACUCCUAGCUG